UAUUUUAAGAUUAUUUUUUAUUGUUGAAAAAAUUAAAAAUAAAUUGUUUUUAACAAAAAUUAAAAUUUAUAAUAUUUCAUUUUUUGGUUUUUUGUUUUAAAUUAAAAUAAUAAAUAUGGGGGAAAAAAAAAUUUUGUUAUAAAUUAUAUUAGUUUAUUUUAAUUAAAAAUAUUUUUUAUUAAAUUUGUUUUUUUUAUUUUUUUAUAAAAAAUAUUAAUUUAAUUAUUAUUAUUGAGUUUAAUUUAGUUAUUUUUAAAAAAAUUUUGUAUAAAAUAAAUUUGAUAAUAAAUGUUUUUUAAAUUCUUUGGGGGUUUAGUUUAUGAUUUUUUGUUUCUGCUCAUUGUUAAAUAAAAGCACUUUUAGCGUGAUUGUUCCAAAAGGUAA
rnacentral:rRNA from 1 species